rnacentral:rRNA from 1 species
UACGAAGGGGGCUAGCGUUGUCCGGAAUUAUUGGGCGUAAAGAGCUCGUAGGCGGUUUGUCACGUCGGAUGUGAAAACCCGAGGCUUAACCUCGGGCCUGCAUUCGAUACGGGCAGGCUAGAGUUCGGUAGGGGAGACUGGAAUUCCUGGUGUAGCGGUGAAAUGCGCAGAUAUCAGGAGGAACACCGGUGGCGAAGGCGGGUCUCUGGGCCGAUACUGACGCUGAGGAGCGAAAGCGUGGGGAGCGAACAGG